CCUACGGGGUGCAGCAGUGAGGAAUAUUGGUCAAUGGGCGCAAGCCUGAACCAGCCAAGUCGCGUGAGGGAUGACGGUCCUAUGGAUUGUAAACCUCUUUUGUCGGGGAGCAAGGCCCGCCACGGGUGGCGGGAAGGAGAGUACCCGAAGAAAACGCAUCGGCUAACUCCGUGCCAGCAGCCGCGGUAAUACGGAGGAUGCGAGCGUUAUCCGGAUUUAUUGGGUUUAAAGGGUGCGUAGGCGGAAGGUUAAGUCAGCGGUAAAAUGUCGGUGCUCAACACCGGCCUGCCGUUGAAACUGGUCUUCUUGAGUGAGCGAGAAGUAUGCGGAAUGCGUGGUGUAGCGGUGAAAUGCAUAGAUAUCACGCAGAACUCCGAUUGCGAAGGCAGCAUACCGGCGCUCAACUGACGCUGAGGCACGAAAGCGUGGGGAUCGAACAGGAUUAGAUACCCUAGUAGUC
rnacentral:rRNA from 1 species